rnacentral:rRNA from 1 species
GGCUCAGGACGAACGCUGGCGGCGUGCUUAACACAUGCAAGUCGAACGAGAAGAGAUGAGAAGCUUGCUUCUUAUCAAUUCGAGUGGCAAACGGGUGAGUAACGCGUAAGCAACCUGCCCUUCAGAUGGGGACAACAGCUGGAAACGGCUGCUAAUACCGAAUACGUUCUUUUUGUCGCAUGGCAGAGGGAAGAAAGGGAGGCUCUUCGGAGCUUUCGCUGAAAGAUGGCCUCGCGUCUGAUUAGCUAGUUGGUGAGGUAACGGCCCACCAAGGCGACGAUCAGUAGCCGGACUGAGAGGUUGAACGGCCACAUUGGGACUGAGAUACGGCCCAGACUCCUACGGGAGGCAGCAGUGGGGAAUAUUGGGCAAUGGGCGCAAGCCUGACCCAGCAACGCCGCGUGAAGGAAGAAGGCUUUCGGGUUGUAAACUUCUUUUGUCAGGGACGAGUAGAAGACGGUACCUGACGAAUAAGCCACGGCUAACUACGUG